GGACGAACGCUGGCGGCGUGCUUAACACAUGCAAGUCGAACGAUGAUGCUCCAGCUUGCUGGGGUGGAUUAGUGGCGAACGGGUGAGUAACACGUGAGUAACCUGCCCUUCACUUUGGGAUAAGCCUUGGAAACGGGGUCUAAUACCGGGUAUACACAUACUGUCGCAUGGUGGUGUGUGGAAAGCUUUUGUGGUGAGGGAUGGACUCGCGGCCUAUCAGCUUGAUGGUGGGGUAGUGGCCUACCAUGGCUUUGACGGGUAGCCGGCCUGAGAGGGUGACCGGCCACACUGGGACUGAGACACGGCCCAGACUCCUACGGGAGGCAGCAGUGGGGAAUAUUGCACAAUGGGCGGAAGCCUGAUGCAGCGACGCCGCGUGGGGGAUGAAGGCUUUCGGGUCGUAAACUCCUUUCAGCAGGGACGAAGCUUUUGUGACGGUACCUGCAGAAGAAGCACCGGCUAACUACGUGCCAGCAGCCGCGGUAAUACGUAGGGUGCGAGCGUUGUCCGGAAUUAUUGGGCGUAAAGAGCUUGUAGGCGGUUUGUCGCGUCUGCCGUGAAAGCCCAGGGCUUAACCCUGGGUCUGCGGUGGGUACGGGCAGACUAGAGUGUGGUAGGGGAGACUGGAAUUCCUGGUGUAGCGGUGAAAUGCGCAGAUAUCAGGAGGAACACCGAUGGCGAAGGCAGGUCUCUGGGCCACUACUGACGCUGAGAAGCGAAAGCAUGGGGAGCAAACAGGAUUAGAUACCCUGGUAGUCCAUGCCGU
rnacentral:rRNA from 1 species